rnacentral:rRNA from 1 species
AGCAGCCGCGGUAAUUCCAGCUCCAAUAGCGUAUACUAAAGUUGUUGCAGUUAAAAAGCUCGUAGUUGAAUUUCGGGAUCAAUAUGUCGGUCGUGCCUUCGGUACGUACUGGUAUCAUUGGUCUCUCCUUUCUGACGAACCAUGAUGUCAUUAAUUUGGUGUUAUGGGGAGUUAGGACUGUUACUUUGAAAAAAUUGGAGUGUUUAAAGCAGGCUUUAGCUUGAAUACAUUAGCAUGGAAUAAUGAAAUAGGACGUUCGAACCUAUUUUGUUGGUUUCUAGGAUCAACGUAAUGAUUAAUAGGGAUAGUUGGGGGCAUUAGUAUUCAAUUGUCAGAGGUGAAAUUCUUGGAUUUAUUGAAGACUAACUACUGCGAAAGCAUUUGCCAAGGAUGUUUUCAUUAAUCAAGAACGAAAGUUAGGGGAUCGAAGACGAUCAGAUACCGUCGUAGUCUUAACCAUAAACUAUGCCGACUAGGGAUCGGAUGAUGUUAAUUUUUUAAUGACUCAUUCGGCGCCUUA